ACGGAGUUACAAAGGACGACAUUAGACGAAUCAUCUGGAAAGAUGAAUCAAAGAAGGUAAUAAUCCUGUAGUCGAAAAUGUUGUCUCUCUUGAGUGGAUCCUGAGUACGACGGAGCACGUGAAAUUCCGUCGGAAUCUGGGAGGACCAUCUCCUAAGGCUAAAUACUCUCUAGUGACCGAUAGUGAACCAGUACCGUGAGGGAAAGGUGAAAAGCACCCCGGAAGGGGAGUGAAAUAGAACCUGAAACCGUGUGCUUACAAGUAGUCAGAGCCCGUUAAUGGGUGAUGGCGUGCCUUUUGUAGAAUGAACCGGCGAGUUACGAUUUGAUGCAAGGUUAAGCAGUAAAUGUGGAGCCGUAGCGAAAGCGAGUCUGAAUAGGGCGUUUAGUAUUUGGUCGUAGACCCGAAACCAGGUGAUCUACCCUUGGUCAGGUUGAAGUUCAGGUAACACUGAAUGGAGGACCGAACCGACUUACGUUGAAAAGUGAGCGGAUGAACUGAGGGUAGCGGAGAAAUUCCAAUCGAACCUGGAGAUAGCUGGUUCUCUCCGAAAUAGCUUUAGGGCUAGCCUCAAGUGAUGAUUAUUGGAGGUAGAGCACUGUUUGGACGAGGGGCCCCUCUCGGGUUACCGAAUUCAGACAAACUCCGAAUGCCAAUUAAUUUAACUUGGGAGUCAGAACAUGGGUGAUAAGGUCCGUGUUCGAAAGGGAAACAGCCCAGACCACCAGCUAAGGUCCCAAAAUAUAUGUUAAGUGGAAAAGGAUGUGGCGUUGCCCAGACAACUAGGAUGUUGGCUUAGAAGCAGCCAUCAUUUAAAGAGUGCGUAAUAGCUCACUAGUCGAGUGACACUGCGCCGAAAAUGUACCGGGGCUAAACAUAUUACCGAAGCUGUGGAUUGUCCUUUGGACAAUGGUAGGAGAGCGUUCUAAGGGCGUUGAAGCAUGAUCGUAAGGACAUGUGGAGCGCUUAGAAGUGAGAAUGCCGGUGUGAGUAGCGAAAGACGGGUGAGAAUCCCGUCCACCGAUUGACUAAGGUUUCCAGAGGAAGGCUCGUCCGCUCUGGGUUAGUCGGGUCCUAAGCUGAGGCCGACAGGCGUAGGCGAUGGAUAACAGGUUGAUAUUCCUGUACCACCUAUAAUCGUUUUAAUCGAUGGGGGGACGCAGUAGGAUAGGCGAAGCGUGCGAUUGGAUUGCACGUCUAAGCAGUAAGGCUGAGUAUUAGGCAAAUCCGGUACUCGUUAAGGCUGAGCUGUGAUGGGGAGAAGACAUUGNGUCUUCGAGUCGUUGAUUUCACACUGCCGAGAAAAGCCUCUAGAUAGAAAAUAGGUGCCCGUACCGCAAACCGACACAGGUAGUCAAGAUGAGAAUUCUAAGGUGAGCGAGCGAACUCUCGUUAAGGAACUCGGCAAAAUGACCCCGUAACUUCGGGAGAAGGGGUGCUCUUUAGGGUUAACGCCCAGAAGAGCCGCAGUGAAUAGGCCCAAGCGACUGUUUAUCAAAAACACAGGUCUCUGCUAAACCGUAAGGUGAUGUAUAGGGGCUGACGCCUGCCCGGUGCUGGAAGGUUAAGAGGAGUGGUUAGCUUCUGCGAAGCUACGAAUCGAAGCCCCAGUAAACGGCGGCCGUAACUAUAACGGUCCUAAGGUAGCGAAAUUCCUUGUCGGGUAAGUUCCGACCCGCACGAAAGGCGUAACGAUUUGGGCACUGUCUCAACGAGAGACUCGGUGAAAUCAUAGUACCUGUGAAGAUGCAGGUUACCCGCGACAGGACGGAAAGACCCCGUGGAGCUUUACUGUAGCCUGAUAUUGAAAUUCGGCACAGCUUGUACAGGAUAGGUAGGAGCCUUUGAAACGUGAGCGCUAGCUUACGUGGAGGCGCUGGUGGGAUACUACCCUAGCUGUGUUGGCUUUCUAACCCGCACCACUUAUCGUGGUGGGAGACAGUGUCAGGCGGGCAGUUUGACUGGGGCGGUCGCCUCCUAAAAGGUAACGGAGGCGCUCAAAGGUUCCCUCAGAAUGGUUGGAAAUCAUUCAUAGAGUGUAAAGGCAUAAGGGAGCUUGACUGCGAGACCUACAAGUCGAGCAGGGUCGAAAGACGGACUUAGUGAUCCGGUGGUUCCGCAUGGAAGGGCCAUCGCUCAACGGAUAAAAGCUACCCCGGGGAUAACAGGCUUAUCUCCCCCAAGAGUUCACAUCGACGGGGAGGUUUGGCACCUCGAUGUCGGCUCAUCGCAUCCUGGGGCUGUAGUCGGUCCCAAGGGUUGGGCUGUUCGCCCAUUAAAGCGGUACGCGAGCUGGGUUCAGAACGUCGUGAGACAGUUCGGUCCCUAUCCGUCGUGGGCGUAGGAAAUUUGAGAGGAGCUGUCCUUAGUACGAGAGGACCGGGAUGGACAUACCUCUGGUGUACCAGUUGUCGUGCCAACGGCAUAGCUGGGUAGCUAUGUGUGGACGGGAUAAGUGCUGAAAGCAUCUAAGCAUGAAGCCCCCCUCAAGAUGAGAUUUCCCAACUUCGGUUAUAAGAUCCCUCAAAGAUGAUGAGGUUAAUAGGUUCGAGGUGGAAGCAUGGUGACAUGUGGAGCUGACGAAUACUAAUCGAUCGAAGACUUAAUCAA
rnacentral:rRNA from 1 species